GAUGAAGAACGUAGCGAAAUGCGAUAAGUAAUGUGAAUUGCAGAAUUCAGUGAAUCAUCGAAUCUUUGAACGCACAUUGCGUCCCCUGGUAUUCCGGGGGGCAUGCCUGUCCGAGCGUCAUUACAACCCUCAAGCUCAGCUUGGUGUUGGGCCCCGCCGCCCCGGCGGGCCCUAAAGUCAGUGGCGGUGCCGUCCGGCUCCGAGCGUAGUAAUUCUUCUCGCUCUGGAGGUCCGGUCGUGUGCUCGCCAGCAACCCCCAAUUUUUUUCAGGUUGACCUCGGAUCAGGUAGGGAUACCCGCUGAACUUAAGCAUAUCAAUAAGCGGAGGA
rnacentral:misc_RNA from 1 species